rnacentral:snRNA from 1 species
UUGCUUCAGCAGCACACAUGCUAAAAUUGGAAUGAUACCGAUUAGCAUGGCCCCUGCAGAAGGAUGACAUGCAAAUAUUAUGUUUGUGAAAUUUAC